rnacentral:rRNA from 1 species
GAGUUUGAUCCUGGCUCAGGAUGAACGCUGGCGGCGUGGAUAAGGCAUGCAAGUCGAGUGGGUUUAGACCCACGGCAGACGAGGUAGUAAUACGCAGGUACGCACCCCUAAGUCGGGCAUAAUCAGUCGAAAGAUUGAAUAACUCCCGAUGGUCUCGAAAGAGUAAAGAUUUAUCGCUUAGGGAGCGGCCUGUGCGCUAUUAGCUAGUUGGUAGGGUAACGGCCUACCAAGGCGAAGAUGGCUAGGGGACCUGAGAGGGUGACCCCCACCGAUGGAACUGAGACACGGUCUAUACACCUACGGGUGGCUGCAGUCGAGAAUCUUCCGCAAUGGACGAAAGUCUGACGGAGCGACGCCGCGUGGUAGAUGAAGUCCUUCGGGAUGUAAAUACCUUUUAUGAGGGAAGAAGUUUAUUGACGGUACCUCAUGAAUAAGGAGUUGCUAAACUCGUGCCAGCAGCAGCGGUAAUACGAGUGCUCCAAGCGUUAUCCGGAAUCAUUGGGCGUAAAGGGUGUGUAGGCGGUUAUGUUAGUCUUCUGUCAAAUUCUUCGGCUUAACCGGGGGCUCGCAGAGGAAACGGCAUAACUCGAGGAUGGGAGAGGUGUAUGGAACUCAUAGUGUAGGGGUGAAAUCCGUUGAUAUUAUGGGGAACACCAAAUGCGAAGGCAGUACACUGGCCCACUCCUGACGCUGAAACACGAAAGCGUGGGUAGCGAAUGGGAUUAGAUACCCCAGUAGUCCACGCCCUAAACGAUGUUCUCUUGGUUUACGGAGUAUCGACCCUCUGUGAGCCGAAGCUAACGCGAUAAGAGAACCGCCUGGGUAGUACGACCGCAAGGUUAAAACUCAAAGGAAUAGACGGGGACUUGCACAAGCAGUGGAUUAUGUGGUUUAAUUCGAUGUCAAACGAAGAACCUCACCAGGGUUUGAAACCUAGCUGAAUACUUUAGGAAACUUUAGUAGCCUCACAAGGGCAGUUAGGCAGGUGAUGCAUGGCCGUCGUCAGUUCGUGGUUUGAAUUGUUCCCUUAAGUGGGGUAACGAACGCAACCCUCGUUGCCUGUUACAAGUGUCAGGCGAGACUGCCCACGAUUUUGGUCGCAAUAUGUAAAAGUAUUGUUAUUAAAAUCGUGGGAGGAAGGCGAGGAUGACGCCAGGUCAGCAUGUCCCUCUGAUAUCCUGGGCUACACACAUAAUACAAUCGGUGCGACAACGCGUCGCGACGGGGAAACCCUGAGCCAAUCGUUAUAAACGCACCGCCAGUUCGGAUUGAGGUCUGCAACUCGACCUCAUGAAGCCGGAAUUGCUAGUAAUCGCAGGUCAGCUAUACUGCGGUGAAUACGUUCUCAAGUCUUGUACACAC